AUUCAGUUUUAUUAUAUAUUUUUAUUAAUAUUGAAAUAUUAUUUAUAUUCAAAUAUUAAUAAAAAUAUAAAAUAUCUAGUCGUAUCCAUAUUAUGAUUUUUUUUAAUUUUUGCCGGAUUGACAUACCCAUACCAUAAAGUAUCCAUACCGCACAUCGAUGUACCUAUACUUUCUAGGCAGGCAAGUUCACCAUCCGUCAAAGCUAUACAUUUUUCUCCUAUAAGGGAGUUAUUUCACGAUUUGGACUAAAGGCUUGGAAACUUCCCAUGCCAGAAAAGGUAAAAUUGUUUAACUGGAUAAGCUUCAAUAAUAGAGCUCUAACAGCUGAUAUCCUUGCAAAAAGAUGUUUUAGAGACCUUGAAUCAUGCCCACUAUGCUGUCAAGCUAGAAGAAGAAAC
rnacentral:lncRNA from 1 species